UGGCCAAAGUCAGUCUAUCCUCAGCAGC
rnacentral:piRNA from 1 species